GACGAACGCUGGCGGCGUGCUUAACACAUGCAAGUCGAGCGGUAAGGCCCUUUCGGGGGUACGACGAGCGGCGAACGGGUGAGUACCACGUGGGUGACCUGCCCUUAGCUCUGGGAUAAGCCUGGGAAACUGGGUCUAAUACCGGAUAUGACUCCAUGACGCAUGUUGUGGGGUGGAAAGCCUUGUGCGGCUAGGGAUGGGCCCGCGGCCUAUCAGCUUGUUGGUGGGGUGAUGGCCUACCAAGGCGACGACGGGUAGCCGGCCUGAGAGGGCGACCGGCCACACUGGGACUGAGACACGGCCCAGACUCCUACGGGAGGCAGCAGUGGGGAAUCUUGCGCAAUGGGCGAAAGCCUGACGCAGCGACGCCGCGUGGGGGAUGAC
rnacentral:rRNA from 1 species